rnacentral:rRNA from 1 species
AGCGAGCGAAUCCCUAAAAAUGAGUGGUUGUCCGGAUUGGAGUNUGCAACUCGACUCCAUGAAGUCGGAAUCGCUAGUAAUCGUGGAUCAGAAUGCCACGGUGAAUACGUUCCCGGGCCUUGUACACACCGCCCGUCACACCAUGGGAGUGGGCUGCAAAAGAAGUGGGUAGUUUAACCUUCGGGAGGACGCUCACCACUUUGUGGUUCAUGACUGGGGUGAAGUCGUAACAAGGUAACCG